rnacentral:miRNA from 1 species
AGCCUCAGACAUUCUUGUAUGUCG